rnacentral:rRNA from 1 species
CCUACGGGAGGCAGCAGUGGGGAAUGAUAGUGGCUUAGGGCGAGCCUGAUCAGCAUGCCGCGUGAGUGAUGAAGGCCUUAGGGUUGUAAAGCUCUUUUACCCGAGAUGAUAAUGACAGUAUCGGGAGAAUAAGCUCCGGCUAACUCCGUGCCAGCAGCCGCGGUAAU